UGGCAGUCGUGGGAGCGGUUGCUGGCCGGGUUCGUCACGCUCGCCGGCCGUGACCGGGCGGGUGUGGCGGCGGUGCUGCGUCCCCGGCUGUCGG
rnacentral:tRNA from 1 species